rnacentral:lncRNA from 1 species
AAUGGAAGAAGUAUAGUGAUUAAGAAAAUGUGGAUUUUAUGUGUUUUUGUAUAGUGUAAAUUAAGAUGGAUUUUUUUUGAAUUAAGAUGAUGAUUUAAGACUAUUAAGGUGGAAAUUAUUUUAUAGGGUUUUGGGACUAUUAAGAUUAUUAUUUGAAUUAAGAUGAUGAUUUGGUUCCUAUUUUGUUGUGGAAAUGAUUUGAAAGUUU